CCUGACUCUCUUUUUGGACCCAGCACACCUGCACCCAGGGGAAAUAAACAGCUUUAUUGCUCACAGAAAGCCUGUUUGGUGGUCUCUUCACACAGACACGAGUGAAAUUUGGUGCUGUGACUUGGAUCGGGGGACCUCCCUUGGGACAUCAAUCCCCUGUCCUCCUGUUCUUUGCUCCGUGAGAAAGAUCCACCUACAACCUCAGGUCCUCAGACUGACCAGCCCAAGAAACGUCUCACCAAUUUCAAGUAUGGUAAGUGGCCUCUUUUUACUCUCUCCUCCAACCUCACUUACUAUCCCUCAACCUCUUUCUCCUUUCAAUCUUGGCACCACACUUCAAUCUCUCCCUUCUUUUAAUUUCAAUUCCUUUCAUUUUCUGGUAGAGACAAAGGAGACGCGUUUUAUCCGUGGACCCAAAACUCCAGUGCUGGUCACGGACUGGGAAGGCAGCCUUCCCUUGGUGUUUAAUCAUUUCAGGGACGCCUCUCUGAUUAUUCACCCAUGUUUCAGAGGUGUCAGACCACGCAGGGACGCCUGUCUUGGUCCUUCACCCUUAGAGGCAAGUCCCGCUUUUCUAGGGGAGGGGAAAGUACCCCAACCUCAUAUCUCUGUGCCCUGAUCCCUUAUUUCCACACCCCAACCUCUUAUAUCUCUGUGCCCCGAUCCCUUAUUUCCGUGCCCCUACCUCUCCCGCUUUUCUGGAGGGUAAGAACCCCCAAACCCCUUCCCUCCGUUUCUCUACUCUCUCUUUUCUCUGGGCUUGCCUCCUUCACUGUGGGCAACCUUCCACCCUCCAUUGCUCCUUCUCCCUUAGCCUGUGUUCUUAAGAACUUAAAACCUCUUCAGCUCUCACCUGACCUAAACUCUCAGCAUCUUAUUUUCUUCCGCAAUGCCACCUGACCGCAAUACAAACUCGACAGUAGUUCCAAAUAGCCAGAAAACGGCACUUUCAAUUUUUCCAUCCUGCAAGAUCUAAAUAAUUCUUGUUGUAAGAUGGGUAAAUGGUCUGAGGUGCCUGACGUCCAGGCAUUCUUUUACACGUCGGUCCCUCUCUAGUCUCUGUUCCCAAUGCAACUCAUCCCAAAUCUUCCUUCUUUCCCUCCCACCCGUCCCCUCAGUCCCAACCCCAAGGGUCGCUGAGUCUUUCUAAUCUUCCAUUUCUACAGACCCAUCUGACCUCUCCCCUCCUCCCCAGGCUGCUCCUCGCCAGGCCGAGCUACGUCCCAAUUCUUCCUCAGCCUCUGCUCCUCCACCCUAUAAUCCUUUUAUCACCUCCCCUCCUCACACCUGGUCCGGCUUACAGUUUCGUUCCGUGACCAGCCCUCCCCCACCUGCCCAGCAAUUUACUCUUAAAAAGGUGGCUGGAGCUAAAGGCAUAGUCAAGGUUAAUGCUCCUUUUUCUUUAUCCCAAAUCAGAUAGCGUUUAGGCUCUUUUUCAUCAAAUAUAAAAAUCCAGCCCAGUUCAUGACUUGUUUGGCAGCAACCCUGAGAC
rnacentral:lncRNA from 1 species